rnacentral:rRNA from 1 species
GAUGAACGCUGGCGGCGUGCCUAAUACAUGCAAGUCGAGCGAACAGAUGAGGAGCUUGCUCCUCUGACGUUAGCGGCGGACGGGUGAGUAACACGUGGACAACCUACCUAUAAGACUGGGAUAACUUCGGGAAACCGGAGCUAAUACCGGAUAAUAUAUUGAACCGCAUGGUUCAAUAGUGAAAGACGGUUUUGCUGUCACUUAUAGAUGGAUCCGCGCCGCAUUAGCUAGUUGGUAAGGUAACGGCUUACCAAGGCAACGAUGCGUAGCCGACCUGAGAGGGUGAUCGGCCACACUGGAACUGAGACACGGUCCAGACUCCUACGGGAGGCAGCAGUAGGGAAUCUUCCGCAAUGGGCGAAAGCCUGACGGAGCAACGCCGCGUGAGUGAUGAAGGUCUUCGGAUCGUAAAACUCUGUUAUUAGGGAAGAACAAAUGUGUAAGUAACUAUGCACGUCUUGACGGUACCUAAUCAGAAAGCCACGGCUAACUACGUG